GUUCAGUGUUAACUAUUAGAAGGACGGCUAAAUAUUUGAGCGGUUGUAAUUUUAGCUCGUGGCAUUGCUUGCUCAUAUAUACACGUGGUGAGGUCGAAAGCCCUGUUUCUAGACACGGAGUCAGUGACAUUGUGAGGUCGACGAAAACGAAAUUUAGUUCGGUGCACUUGAAGUGGAAGCGACCUUCAUAGCCUCCGUAGCCUAAUCCUAGGAAAUUUCAUUUUCCUUUAACAUUAUUCGAUUCGAAUCGAUCGGAACACACGCGAAGGGAUGAGAGAGAAUCUUGGCUGUUUCGAUAGAAAUGGUGUUAAAACGUCAUCGAAGACCCGUGACGAGAAUCGAAUUGUACAGAAGUCGAAAUUCUGCGAGGCCUCGAUUGGAGACUAUCAAUGGAGUGCGUGGAAUGUUGCGAAUCGGAUUACAAUCGGCAUAGGAAGCGGAGGAUACAAUUCGGCCGACCAAUUAUUGAUCGAUUCACAAGAAGAAAAUGAAAUUUCAUUUAUGCUGACUGCCAAACGAUAUCGCAACGUCCUGUCGGAUACAUGUGCCAAAUAUAUUUUUCCAUAUAUCUUUCAAUUUCUCAAAUUACUCUGCUGAUUUAAAUAUGCGUAAAUCGUGGAUAAUUCGAAUAACAAUGAAAUUUAUAAAAGAAGAAAAAAAGAUUGGCGAAAUUUUGUGAAUAUUUGUUAUCGAAAAGUAAUAAUUUGAAAAUAAAUAAUAAAUAAAAAUAAAAAUGUAAAAAUA